rnacentral:rRNA from 1 species
CAGCAGCCGCGGGAAUACGUAGGGUGCGAGCGUUAAUCGGAAUUACUGGGCGUAAAGGGCGCGUAGGCGGCGAUCAAAGUCAGGCGUGAAAUUCCUGGGCUCAACCUGGGGGCUGCGCUUGAUACUUGGUUGCUUGAGUGGGGAAGAGGGUCGUGGAAUUCCCAGUGUAGAGGUGAAAUUCGUAGAUAUUGGGAAGAACACCGGUGGCGAAGGCGGCGACCUGGUCCUUGACUGACGCUGAGGCGCGAAAGCGUGGGGAGCAAACAGGAUUAGAUACCCCCGUAGUCCCUGUCUCUUAUAC